CAUGCGAUGGCUGCAGCAGCUGGAGAACUCCGGAGGUCAUUAUGGCUCUUCACACACAGGAGAGAAGAAAGAGGGAGGAGCAGAGAGCGGAGGAAACUGAGCUGACAGGGGGUUAAGCGCGUGGCCGGUCAGCUGCGGUGUGGUCGCUUAGAGGGAGUGGAAUUUACAGCUCUGCAGCAGCAUGAUGAGAAAAACUACUUCUCUGGGAACACCUUGUGAAAUAAUUGCUGGUCAGGCAGCAGGCUGCUGCAGCACAGCACUCUCUGGUUCAUUACCUCCUCGUGGCUGCAGCACCGUAGACAUCUGAAAGACUGACUCAGAAACUCAGUGUCCCUGAAACGUGCAGCUUUUAUCUUGGAUCUUUCGCUCCGGGGCACUUUCAGACGGAAUACAACUCUAUCGGGAUGGUUACACACUUUGCCAACACUAAAAAUUUUUCAGUGGUCAGCCGCAAUUACCGGAACCAUGUUUGGUGUUUCAAGACAGCGGGGGGACAGGUGUACGCUAGCCAUGAAGGGACAUUGGCGUCACAGUGGAACGCAAGUUUCAGGCCAGCUAGGGGGUGAAUCGGAUUGAUGUAAAAACAGAUGUGCUGGCAUAUUAAAUCUCCGGGGAGGGCGGUUCGGUGGCUGCUGGAUAUGUGUGUCAGUGAGUGAACCCACAACACCCAGGGUAGUAACCCAGUUUCUCUCUGUCUCUCUGCAUGCUUUCCAAUCACUAGGCAGGGGCAGGGCUGUAGUGCUGCAGUGCUAUCUCCCCCUCUCAACACACUCAUCCCUAAAUCUUUACUAACACUGUGGCGCCACAAGGGUCCAGCCAUACCUCGCCAUCAUAUCUAACCCCGUCAAGCACCACAAACUCAUCCAGGAUUUCCACCCCUGCCCAGAAUAGCCUGUCUAAGUGUCCUUCUGUUUCCACCCCAGCACCUCUCCUUUUGGCCUGGUAUUGGAUAGGCUCCUGAGAGGAGGGGGAUGAGACAGGGCGGUGUUGACUUGUGGAAUGUGUGGAGCUGGAGCAAAGAUUCAUUAGAGAGCUACUGAACAUUUCAUGCUGCCAUGCAAACAGUUAUUGAUCUCUAGCACACAGCAUUUGGGUACUAGAGAAGCCUCUAGAAUAAACACACCCAGGUCAACUCUGGGGGGAAAAAGGGAAUAUGGGGGGUUCGCAGGAAAAAAAGAAGGGGUUAAAAAAAAAAGGAAAAAAAAAGAAAUGGGAAAAGAGAAUCAGCACACUCGUAACAAAUCACUAUUGCUGAGUGGGCAUUAGCUCUUGCAUGUGACCUCUGGCCUGGUCUGUGUGGCUAAAGCCCAAAUCCUGCUCACAAUAGCUUCCUGUUCCACUUGGAUCAACCUCAUUUUUGGAUCUCAGCAACCAGUCUGACAUACAACUGAGAAUGUGGUUAAACAACGGACAAGCAGAUGGAAAACGGAUGAAAACGAGAUGCACAACAUAUUCAAGACACUGUUACAUUAGAAAUGCGCCUUUUUUCCUAAGGAGUCUUUUGAACUUUCAUAGACAAGAAAUAAAAACAAGGAAACAAGGACAACACAGGAACAACUUCCUCUUUUUCAACAACGUUUUUUUUUUUUUACAGAUUUCUGAAAGAGAACUUUUUACCCAAAAAAAACAAAAAACAUAGCAAUUCUCUUUUCCAGAUUCUCUACGGAUACCCCACAUUCUCGAGGACAGCCAAGGUCAGCAGAAGAUUUAAAACUGAGUGAACCCCAAUAUGUGUAACGCGUACUGAGAAAACUGCAUUGGGAUGAGGCAAAAGAAAAAAAGCGUGACCUAAAGAAUCUGUGAAAGUCACCUUAUGUUAUAAUCCUCUGCAUUCUGCAGGAUGGUUAUAAAAAAAGAAAAAAGAAAAAAGAUCUACCAACGUGAUUAAAAUGUGUUUGGUAACCAAACCAAUGUGUUUGGCCGCGUUAACCAAACAUCAUAUCAGAGAAGGUAAGGAAACUCAGCUGUGUCUGGGGCUGCCUACUUGGUGUACAUACUUCUUUAUGUGCCCAUAUGAACAUAUGACAGCUAUGGAAUGUAAAGAAGUAUGUAUUCUUGGUCAGGUGCUGAUCCUCAGUUUAUAAAAUGUGCCAUGAUCCUCUGCAUCACUGAAUAUGAGUACAUGGAAAUAGUGUGAUGGAUUUUGUAUCUGGGGUGCAGAAACUUACUGCAGCAGUGGAUUCUGAGAGAAGUUGCUGCUCUUUUGGUGACUUCACCAGCAGUCCACACCGCCUCGAAUUCAGCAAUUGCCAUGCUAGAUAGUUCAUUCUGAUAGAUUCUCAUGCUAGAGUUAAUUUCUGCAGGUAGACUAACAUUAAAACAACUGGUUGUAGUGCCCACUUUCUUGGUGACAGAAUGAGUUCAGUCACUGCUACCUACAAAAUUCCAAUAACGGCCCGAGACAUCGCCAUAUGAACAGGAGCUCCUUUCAUUAUUGGAGAGUUUGCUGCAUUCUAAGCUUUGAAUUGUGGCCAGCUGCAACUAAGAUCCUGUUUCUGCAGGAGCGGCAUGCGUCAGAAUCAUUAAUACCUUAAUCUUUUUAAACUUGCCUACAGAGGGUAAGUUUAGGACAAUUUAGCCUUUUUUGUCCAUUAAAAGUUAGAUCCUGCUACAGGGAAGCUGCUGAGGUAACAGUUCCAUAAAGGUGAGCAGAACUUGGCUAAUAAAAAGGAAGCUUCUCUCACAUUGUGGGAUAGUACCGUUGUCUGUUUCACCCUGCCACCCGUUUCUGCCCCCAUUGUUCAUGUUUGCUAGGCUUGCCAAAUGCUUUGCUGGACCACAGAGUAGUCAGAUUAGAGCAUGGAAAAGUGACAAUGCAGGAUCAGAGUCGGGUCUGCCUGUCAGCUGAUUCCAAUUGUCCUCUACAAAAGGUAAACGGGGGCCUUCAGAAGAGGACCUCUUUUUCAGUUUUGGUCCACUGGUGUGUGCAGCAGGAAUCAUUGUGAAAGCAUGAAUGUACGAGUAGAACAAAUGUAUUAUACAAUGCUGAACUUUUAAGCUGAUCAACAGGUGAUGAAAACAGUCAUGUUAGGGCAUAAGGUAAUAGAGGACAGUUAUACUUUCAGGAGUUUGCUUACCAUGGCACACCACAUCAUAUAUAUAUAUAUAGACUUAUGGUGAUGACUAAGGUCAGAGCAUUGCUGCAAUCCUCGCUCACUCGUGCUACCCAUCAAGAAAAAUGUGAAGUACGCAUUGUGUGCAAAGAUACAGUAAGGGUUUUUGGUCAUGACUGGAGCCUGGGAGAGCUAGUGGCCCAUUUUUCUGAAUGUCAGACACUCCCGUCUGUCCUCUGUAGGGCUGUGCUCUUUCCAUUUUUGUGCACCGCUUGCUGUAUGGUUCGCUCCUGUCAGUCGUGUGGCUGUGUUCCCUCUUUCUCGCCCUCAACCCUCAGACUGAGUGACACCCACAGCAGAUGCUGACAUUAUCAAAUGUUCAGCUGCUGUCCCUGGCUUUUGCCCUCUUAUGGCCAGUGUAUUUGGGGGCCGAACUUUGUCCAGAAUGCCGCAAGCGAGUGUCUAUGUAGAGCAGGGAGGGGGAUCUGUGGUGUAAAUAGCAUUUUACUGACCCCUCUUUAAUGAGCGCCAUAUUGAGCAGCAAUGACCCAUUGCUUACACUCUCAGCUGGCCACCUGCUAAAGAGCUAAAGAGGCUUUUUGGUUCCAUCUAAGCUGAUGGACAGUGGACUGCGUCUUACAAAACAACACGCGCUCAACUGUGCGUCACUGAAUUGUUUUGUGGAGCUGUGGACUAUAACGGACAUGUAGGUCUAAUAUGUCUUUAUAAGUCAUUUCAAUAUUAGCACACAUGAGCAGUCUCGGAGGAGCUCCCACCACACUCCCUUAUUGGAUUAAAUGGGCAAAUUAAUCCUACAAUUUAGCCAAGUAUGACUGAAUCUUUUAAAAAUUGAGAAAGUGACAACUACAAACAGCAGCACAUGCUGACAUCUUGAUCGCCCAAGCGACACUCUGCCCUCGGCAGGCUUAAUCCAUCAGCUGCUGUAAUUGCUACAAGACUUGCGGACACUUGACUCGAGUGCACCACGAUGGAUUAUUAUCUUUUUCGCUGAGGACAUUUCUCUUUUUUUUUUAACAAAGAGAAAGAAAACAUUUGGAGCGCAAUAAAACUUUUUUUUUUUUAUAGUUAGAGAAAAUCUGACAUCUGAAACGAGCCCAUGCAACAUUUCAUGUCAUGUUUCACAAAGUUUUACUGCUUAAACAGGGUCAAAUAAGCUGUUUUAUUAAAUAAGUCUCAUUAACAGCAAACCACAAUGCUUUGCUAAAGCUGGUAAAAUGGAACCAAAUCACCUCUUCAAUGGAUUUGGUCCCCUUCAACCAGCUGUAGCUAUGCUUUGAUGACAACAUGAAUGGUUCUAUCUUGCUUUUUUUUUGCUUUCGCAGGAAUUGAGAUUUAAUCUUAUGUUUUUCAAAUAAAUGUUAUUACAAAA